rnacentral:rRNA from 1 species
GACGAACGCUGGCGGCGUGCUUAACACAUGCAAGUCGAACGGCAAGGCCCUGCUUUUGUGGGGUUCUCGAGUGGCGAACGAGUGAGUAACACGUACGUACCCUGCCCUUGCAUUUCGGGUAACUUCCGGAAACUAGGGCUAAUACCGGCUAGGUGCCCCUGCUGCAUGGUGGGGGUUGGAAAGUUUCGGUGGUUGGGGAUGGAAUCGCGGUUUAGCAGCUUGUUGGUGAGGUAGUGGCUUACGAAGGCGUUGACGGGUAUCCGGCCUGAGAGGGUGACCGGGCACAGUGGGAGUGAGAUACGGCCCAGAGUAGUACGGGAGACAGCAGAGUGGAAUAUUGCACAAUGGGCGCAUGCCUGAUGCAGCAUCGCCGCGUGCGGGAUGAUGGCCUUCGGGUUGGAAAGCGCUUUCGCGGGUAACGAAGCGUGAGUGACGGUAAUGGAUAAAGAAGCACCGGCUAACUACGUG